CCUACGGGAGCAGCAGUGAGGAAUAUUGGUCAAUGGGCGGUAGCCUGAACCAGCCAAGUAGCGUGAAGGAUGAAGGUUCUAUGGAUUGUAAACUUCUUUUAUAAAGGAAUAAAGUGAGGCACGUGUGCCUUUUUGUAUGUACUUUAUGAAUAAGGAUCGGCUAACUCCGUGCCAGCAGCCGCGGUAAUACGUAGGAUCCGAGCGUUAUCCGGAUUUAUUGGGUUUAAAGGGAGCGUAGGUGGACAGUUAAGUCAGUUGUGAAAGUUUGCGGCUCAACCGUAAAAUUGCAGUUGAUACUGGCUGUC
rnacentral:rRNA from 1 species